rnacentral:rRNA from 1 species
CCUACGAGAGGCAGCAGUGAGGAAUAUUGGUCAAUGGGCGCGAGCCUGAACCAGCCAAGUAGCGUGAAGGAUGACUGCCCUACGGGUUGUAAACGUCUUUUAUAAAGGAAUAAAGUGAGGCACGUGUGCCUUUUUGUAUGUACUUUAUGAAUAAGGAUCGGCUAACUCCGUGCCAGCAGCCGCGGUAAUACGGAGGAUCCGAGAGUUAGCCGGAUUUAUUGGGUUUAAAGGGAGAGUAGAUGGGUUGUUAAGUCAGUUGUGGAAGUUUGCGGCUCAACCGUAAAAUUGCAAUUUAUACUGGCAGCCUUGAGUACAGUUUAGGUAGGCGGAAUUCGUGGUGUAGCGGUGAAAUGCUUAGAUAUCACGAAGAACUCCGAUUGCGAAGGCAGCUUACUAAACUGCCACUGACAUUGAUGCUCGAAAGUGUGGGUAUCAAACAGGAUUAGAUACCCCAGUAGUC